rnacentral:misc_RNA from 1 species
UGAAUAUAUACCUCUUUCUCAAAAGUGUGUUGUUAUUCCCAAGCACUCUUCAUAAUUGUGUAAUUUGGUUAUCAUAAACUAGGUUCUAUGAAUAUAUACAUAUUCCAACUACAAUUAAUAGGAAAAAAAAUAUACAAAUACUCAUGUAAGAGUAAUUGUUUUCCCUUGUGUUUUUCUUAGUUCAUAGCUGCAUAUAUUAUAACUUGAGCCAUAAAGUUUCGAAAAAAACAAAAUUUUACUCAUACCAAGCA